UGGCACAGGUCACUUGCACAUAGGUCUCGGA
rnacentral:piRNA from 1 species